GCUGGCGGACACCUUCUGCAUGUCUCUUAUUCCUUCUAACGGCGAAACUGCGGUGGCUCAUGACUCAGAUAUAGUUUAUUUGGUGGGCCGCAUUACAUGGAUAACCGUGGUAAUUCGAGAGCUAAUACAUGCGCCCAAGGCCAACUUUUUGGAGUGGUUGUGUUUAUUAGAUACAGAACCUUACCAGGCUCCGCCUGCCCUUGAGGUGAUUCCUAAUAACCCAACGAAUCUCAUGGCUAUGCGAGCGAUACACCGUUCUUUUUUCUGACCUAUCGUCUAUCCUCCGUAUGGAAUGGGCCUACCGUGACACUGACUGGUAACGGAAAAUUAUGGUUCGAUUCCGGACAGGGAGCCUGAGAAAAAGCUACCACUUCUAAAGGAAGGUGAAGGCGCGCAAAUUACCCCAUCCUGACACCUGGAGGUAGAGACAAGAAAUAACUCUACAGAUCAUACAUGUCUUGUAAUUGGAAUGAGUAAACUUUAAAUCACUUUACUAGUAU
rnacentral:rRNA from 1 species